rnacentral:rRNA from 1 species
AUUGAACGCUGGCGGCAUGCUUUACACAUGCAAGUCGAACGGUAACAGGCCGCAAGGUGCUGACGAGUGGCGAACGGGUGAGUAAUGCAUCGGAACGUGCCCAGUCGUGGGGGAUAACUACUCGUAAGAGUAGCUAAUACCGCAUACGAUCUAUGGAUGAAAGCGGGGGACCGUAAGGCCUCUCGCGAUUGGAGCGGCCGAUGUCAGAUUAGGUAGUUGGCGGGGUAAAGGCUCACCAAGCCAACGAUCUGUAGCUGGUCUGAGAGGACGACCAGCCACACUGGAACUGAGACACGGCCCAGACUCCUACGGGAGGCAGCAGUGGGGAAUUUUGGACAAUGGGCGCAAGCCUGAUCCAGCAAUGCCGCGUGCAGGAAGAAGGCCUUCGGGUUGUAAACUGCUUUUGUACGGAACGAAACGGCUCUGGUUAAUACCCGGGGCUAAUGACGGUACCGUAAGAAUAAGCACCGGCUAACUACGUG